UACGAAGGGGGCUAGCGUUGUUCGGAAUUACUGGGCGUAAAGGGCGCGUAGGCGGAUCGGCAAGUCAGAAGUGAAAUCCCUGGGCUCAACCCAGGAAUUGCUUUUGAGACUGUCGGUCUUGAGUACAGGAGAGGUGAGUGGAAUUCCCAGUGUAGAGGUAAAAUUCGUAGAUAUUGGGAGGAACACCAGUGGCGAAGGCGGCUCACUGGACCGAGACUGACGCUGAGGCGCGAAAGCGUGGGGAGCAAACAGG
rnacentral:rRNA from 1 species